CCUACGGGGGGCAGCAGUGGGGAAUAUUGGACAAUGGCGGGAACCCUGAUCCAGCCAUGCCGCGUGUGUGAAGAAGGCCCUCGGGUUGUAAAGCACUUUCAGUGAGGAAGAACGCCUGGUGGUUAAUACCCAUCAGGAAAGACAUCACUCACAGAAGAAGCACCGGCUAACUCCGUGCCAGCAGCCGCGGUAAUACGGAGGGUGCGAGCGUUAAUCGGAAUUACUGGGCGUAAAGCGCGCGUAGGUGGCUUGAUAAGCCGGUUGUGAAAGCCCCGGGCUCAACCUGGGAACGGCAUCCGGAACUGUCAAGCUAGAGUGCAGGAGAGGAAGGUAGAAUUCCCGGUGUAGCGGUGAAAUGCGUAGAGAUCGGGAGGAAUACCAGUGGCGAAGGCGGCCUUCUGGACUGACACUGACACUGAGGUGCGAAAGCGUGGGUAGCAAACAGGAUUAGAUACCCCAGUAGUC
rnacentral:rRNA from 1 species